ACUAAACUCUCUCUUAUAAUCUUUCGAUCAAUGCAAACGACCCUUGUGUAGACUUCAAAAACCAUAAGAUGAUCAUUUAUUACUAAACAACAUCCGACAGGAACAAUGGAUGUCAACAGAUGGAACGAGUUGAAAUGGCUGAGAAUUCACAAAUACAACCGUCCUGAAAAAGAAAACAGAGAGAAUGUAUCAAUGGGGAAAAAGU
rnacentral:misc_RNA from 1 species